rnacentral:rRNA from 1 species
UUCGCCCUUAGAGUUUGAUCCUGGCUCAGAACGAACGCUGGCGGCAGGCCUAACACAUGCAAGUCGAACGACACAGUGGCAGACGGGUGAGUAACGCGUGGGAACGUGCCCUUCACUACGGAAUAGCUCCGGGAAACUGGUGGUAAUACCGUAUACGCCCUUCGGGGGAAAGAUUUAUCGGUGAAGGAUCGGCCCGCGUUAGAUUAGAUAGUUGGUGGGGUAAUGGCCUACCAAGUCUACGAUCUAUAGCUGGUCUGAGAGGAUGAUCAGCCACACUGGGACUGAGACACGGCCCAGACUCCUACGGGAGGCAGCAGUGGGGAAUCUUGCACAAUGGGCGAAAGCCUGAUGCAGCCAUGCCGCGUGAAUGAUGAAGGCCUUAGGGUUGUAAAAUUCUUUCAUCAGGGACGAUAAUGACGGUACCUGAAGAAGAAGCCCCGGCUAACUUCGUGCCAGCAGCCGCGGUAAUACGAAGAGGGCUAGCGUUGUUCGGAAUUACUGGGCGUAAAGCGCACGUAGGCGGACUUUUAAGUCUGGGGUGAAAGCCCGGAGCUCAACUCCGGAACUGCCUUGGAUACUGGAAGUCUUGAGGGUGGAAGAGGUAAGUGGAAUACCGAGUGUAGAGGUGAAAUUCGUAGAUAUUCGGUGGAACACUAGUGGCGAAGGCGACUUACUGGUCCAUUUCUGACGCUGAGGUGCGAAAGUGUGGGGAGCAAACAGGAUUAGAUACCCUGGUAGUCCACACCGUAAACGAUGAGGGCUAGUUGUCGGCAGGUUUACCUGUCGGUGACGCAGCUAACGCAUUAAGCUCUCCGCCUGGGGGAGUACGGCCGCAAGGUUAAAACUCAAAGAAAUUGACGGGG